UAAAAGGGUGCUUGCCUUUCUACGCUUUUGUAUGGCACAUCCGUGCGGCGCCGAGCUGGUUGAGUCCAGCCAGGUGUCCGUACCGGUGGGGUAUGGCUAUCAAGACAUAUCCAGCACGUAAUUUUUGACCCUUGGAAGGCUGUUGACUCGCACUUUUGCGUCGACGCCUUC
rnacentral:snRNA from 1 species